rnacentral:rRNA from 1 species
GGGCCCGCACAAGCAGUGGAGCAUGUGGUUUAAUUCGACGAUACGCGAAGAACCUUACCAAGACUUGACAUCCGCAGAAUCUUCUAGAGAUAGAGGAGUGCCUUCGGGAACUGCGUGACAGGUGGUGCAUGGCUGUCGUCAGCUCGUGUCGUGAGAUGUUGGGUUAAGUCCCGCAACGAGCGAAACCCUUGUCUUAUGUUACCAGCACGUUAUGGUGGGGACUCAUAAGAGACUGCCCGUGGAAAGCGGGAGGAAGGUGAGGACGACGUCAAGUCAUCAUGCCCCUUACGUCUUGGGCCACACACAUGCUACAAUGGCCGGUACAAUGAGUCGCGAAGCCGCGAGGUGGAGCC